AUUGAACGCUGGCGGCAUGCUUUACACAUGCAAGUCGAACGGCAGCGCGGGCUUCGGCCUGGCGGCGAGUGGCGAACGGGUGAGUAAUGCAUCGGAACGUGCCCAGUAGUGGGGGAUAGCCCGGCGAAAGCCGGAUUAAUACCGCAUACGACCUGAGGGUGAAAGCGGGGGACCGAAAGGCCUCGCGCUAUUGGAGCGGCCGAUGUCGGAUUAGCUAGUUGGUGGGGUAAAGGCUUACCAAGGCGACGAUCCGUAGCUAGUCUGAGAGGACGACCAGCCACACUGGGACAGAGACACGGCCCAGACUCCUACGGGAGGCAGCAGUGGGGAAUUUUAGACAAUGGGGGCAACCCUGAUCCAGCCAUGCCGCGUGCGGGAAGAAGGCCUUCGGGUUGUAAACCGCUUUUGUUCGGGAAGAAAUCCUCUGGGCUAAUACCCCGGGGGGAUGACGGUACCGGAAGAAUAAGCACCGGCUAACUACGUG
rnacentral:rRNA from 1 species